rnacentral:misc_RNA from 1 species
GAUGAAGAACGUAGCAAAAUGCGAUAAGUAAUGUGAAUUGCAGAAUUCAGUGAAUCAUCGAAUCUUUGAACGCACAUUGCGCCCGCUGGUAUUCCGGCGGGCAUGCCUGUUCGAGCGUCAUUUCAACCCUCAAGCCCCCGGGUUUGGUGUUGGGGAUCGGCUCUGCCCUUCUGGGCGGUGCCGCCCCCGAAAUACAUUGGCGGUCUCGCUGCAGCCUCCAUUGCGUAGUAGCUAACACCUCGCAACUGGAACGCGGCGCGGCCUUGCCGUAAAACCCCAACUUCUGAAUGUUGACCUCGGAUCAGGUAGGAAUACCCGCUGAACUUAAGCAUAUCAAUAAGCGGAGGA